GGUCCGCUGGUGUAACUAGUAGCACGCCUGGUCUAGUAGAAUACGCUACUCGGAACUGGUUUGGGGGAUCAGGAAAUCGCAGGUUCGAAUCCGGCGCGGACCA
rnacentral:tRNA from 1 species